rfam:Ixodes scapularis strain Wikel colony gcontig_1108378812766, whole genome shotgun sequence.
ACAGUUGUGGCCGAGUGGUUAAGGCAAUUGACUAGAAAUCCACUGGGGUCUCCUCGCACAGGUUCGAAUCCUGUUGGCUGUG